UCUCCGUAGGUGAACCUGCGGAGGGAUCAUUAACAAAUCAAACACACAUCCUGUGUAACCGUCUGUUCCUGGUGUGGAUAGAGUGGGGAGUUCUGUCGAUCACACACCAGGACCAUCAUACAAACUAUUGUCAGAUGCAUUACUUAUGUAAUCAAAACAACUUUUAACAAUGGAUCUCUUGGCUCUU
rnacentral:misc_RNA from 1 species